rnacentral:rRNA from 1 species
UCCGUAGGUGAACCUGCGGAAGGAUCAUUAAUGAUUGACCCUCUGGGUCUUAUCUUAACAUCCCUCACCUCUGUGAACCGUUUGACCUCCGGGUCUUACAAAAACCAUAACAAACAUCAGUGUAAAGAACGUCUUGUUAUCUUAACAAAAACAAAACUUUCAACAACGGAUCUCUUGGCUCUCGCAUCGAUGAAGAACGCAGCGAAAUGCGAUAAGUAAUGUGAAUUGCAGAAUUCAGUGAAUCAUCGAAUCUUUGAACGCACCUUGCGCCUUUUGGUAUUCCGAAAGGCAUGCCUGUUUGAGUGUCAUGAAAUCUCAAUCCCAUCUGGUUUAUGACCGGGUGUUGGACUUGGACGUGGGCGCUGCCGGUCAAACGGCUCGCCUCAAAUGACUUAGUGGGAUCGCUUGCAUCCGUUACAGACGUAAUAAGUUUCGUCUUGUCCCUUGCUCUGCGUACGCCCGCUCAGAACCAAGCUGUCUUGCCUUCACCGGCCUGACACACUUUUUUGACUCUGACCUCAAAUCAGGUAGGACUACCCGCUGAACUUAAGCAUAUCAAUAAGCGGAGGA